GACACGGUGACGUUGGGAUGGGUGGCCUUGCACGGAAUAUCCAGCGGAAUUCCUUGCACCGAAACAAAUUCCGUUUCGAUUUCCGUCUGGAUGAUUACGAGUUUUCUAACAUCUGACCACACAGACGUAUUGUUCGAUUUUAGUUCCUUGUUGAGUGGCGCAACUAAAAGCGCCCGAGUCCGACGGAAUGGCCUUGAGUAAAUUCAUCGUCGAUCUCAGGUACUGAACGAAUUUGGAAUGAAAUGUUGUAAUUAUUUUACUUCAGGGUGCAAAUCAGUGUUAGAUUGGAAUUUGAUUUGACCACCUGUUCCGUCCCAGCCGGAAUCAUCUGUAGCGACUCCGCAUCCGAAUGGACGACCAGCAGCAAGACAAAAGUCAAUCCCUUGAGGAACAUUUCCAACUCAGAAUCGACCGGAGAUACUUGUAGAGCAAAUCAACUCUAAAUAACAGUAGACUUAACGUCACCUGACUGCUAAAAACUAUAGUGAAUGCACUGAUUUUACACUGGCUGAGUUUGAAAUAACAAAAAGACCUUUAUAUAAUAUUUUAACCAUAGGUUUACAUGUGCACCGCGGGAAGUGGUUAGCGAUGAUGUGUUUUGUCGGUGCGGGUUGAUUUCAUUGACGGUGGCUGAUCGCCUCACGAGGUUAACCAGUCCGGGGAAUGGGUUCUGUCACCGGAGUGUUCCGUCGUUCAUGUAUUAGAGUUGCCGUGUCGUUAUUUCCAGCCCAGCGGUUCAUCGAAUCAUCGUAUACCUUGUAAAAAUAUCGGACUUGAACGCUGGACUCGUGCCCGAAUUUCUCCUAAACUUCUUUCGGGCGAU